rnacentral:pre_miRNA from 1 species
GAUUUCAAAUGGAAAAGUCAUAAAAAACAAAGUUGUAUAACUCAUCAAGAUCUACAAUUUUUAUUUUGGUCACUUGUUCAUCCGAUAAAGUGAUACUAAUAUUCUUCACAAAAAUAACAUAUCUCUUAUCUGGUUUAUAAACAUCAACACAUAUAUGUCAAUUUUGUAAACAAUGUUACUAUCACUUUGUCGGAUGAAGAAGUGACCAAAAUAAAAGUUGUAGAUCUUGAUGAGUUAUACAACUUUGUUGUUGAUGAAUUUUCCAUUUGAAAUC